UACGGAGGGGGCUAGCGUUGUUCGGAAUUACUGGGCGUAAAGCGCACGUAGGCGGCUUGGUAAGUUAGAGGUGAAAGCCCGGGGCUCAACUCUGGAAUUGCCUUUUAGACUGCAUCGCUUGAAUCAUGGAGAGGUCAGUGGAAUUCCGAGUGUAGAGGUGAAAUUCGUAGAUAUUCGGAAGAACACCAGUGGCGAAGGCGACUGACUGGACAUGUAUUGACGCUGAGGUGCGAAAGCGUGGGGAGCAAACAGG
rnacentral:rRNA from 1 species